rnacentral:rRNA from 1 species
UAGUUUUUUUNGNANUAANUUUNNUUUNCNAUUUUUUAAUUUUUAAUUUUUUUAAAAAAAUUAAAAAUUUAUUAAUUUGAAUAUUUUAAGGGAUAAGCUUUAAAAUAAAAUAUUAAAAAUAUUAGAUAAUUAAUUAAAAAUGUAUGCAUAGAAUUAGCAAUCAUUUAUAAAUUUGUUAUAAAUUAUUUUAUAAUUUUUAUUAUUUAUUUUUAUUUUAAUUUAAUUUAUAAAAAUUUUUUUAUUAAUUUUUAUUAAAAUGUAAUAAUGAUUUAAUUAGUAUAUAAGAACUAUUGUUGAUAAUAAUUUAUUUUGGAAAGUUUAUGUAAAGAACUCGGCAAAUAAAUUUACUCGCCUGUUUAACAAAAACAUGUCUUUUUGAAUUAUAUUUAAAGUCUAACCUGCCCACUGAAUUAUUUUAAAUGGCCGCAGUAUUUUGACUGUGCAAAGGUAGCAUAAUCAUUAGUCUUUUAAUUGAAGGCUGGUAUGAAUGGUUGGACGAGGUAUAUACUGUUUCAUAUAAAUUUAUUAUAGAAUUUUAUAUUUUAGUUAAAAAGCUAAAAUUUUAUUAAAAGACGAGAAGACCCUAUAAAUCUUUAUAUUUGUUUUUAUUUAAAUUUUAUAGAUUUUGUUUAUUUUUAUAGAAAUAAAUAUUUUGUUGGGGUGAUGUUAAAAUUUAAUGAACUUUUAAUUAUUUAAGAAUCAUUAAUUUAUGAAUUAUUGAUCCAUUAAUAUUGAUUAUAAGAUUAAGUUACUUUAGGGAUAACAGCGUAAUUUUUUUUGAGAGUUCAUAUCGACAAAAAAGUUUGCGACCUCGAUGUUGGAUUAAGGUAUAGUUUUGGGUGUAGCUGUUCAUAAACUAAGUCUGUUCGACUUUUA